UACGGAGGGGGCAAGCGUUGUUCGGAAUCAUUGGGCGUAAAGGGCGCGCAGGUGGUUCUGUAUGUCUGCCGUGAAAGCAUACAGCUCAACUGUAUUGUGUCGGUAGAAACUGCAGGACUUGAGGCUGGGAGGGGCUGGUGGAAUUCCCUGUGUAGCGGUGAAAUGCGUAGAGAUGGGGGAGAACACUCGUGGCGAAGGCGGCCAGCUAGACCAGUUCUGACACUGAGGCGCGACAGCGUGGGGAGCAAACAGG
rnacentral:rRNA from 1 species